CAGUAAGGAUGUGGUCAGUCGGCCUCACUACUUAAGAGUGAUUUUCAAUGGCUCUGUGCCCAGAAUUCCUUUAGAUUUCAUUUUGGCUAUUUAUUUAUGACAUUUUUUCUCUUUUUUUUAUGGGCAUAUGACAGGACUACCUUCUCAGGAUCCUUUGCAGAUGGUCCCUCAGUGCCUGAAGGUUGGACUGCUCAGACAGAAACCUGACUGGUGAAACUUGAUGCUUCUGCAGCAAUUUCAGUGUAGAGGCCAAUGCUGCACUUUAAAGCUCCUAGGAUUCAGAAGAGACAAACAGGAUGGAGAGGGCUCGUCAACUGUAGGGAAGAACAUUGGUAAGCAAGCAACAGGAGUCCAUUCUCCUCACGCCUUUUCUGUGGGCUUUUUUGGGAGCCUGAGCUGGAACUGCAGCCUCAGUUUCAGUUUGAAUCUGGCCUUUGGUUGGCAGAACCUACGCUCUUUGGCCUCGUAGCUUCAAAGCAACUUCCGGAGCUUGGGAAGACUGCAGCCAAAUUUCUGCUCCCUAUUGCACAGAAGUAUUGUCCCCAAGAGCGUCCUCCCUGGAAGAGGAGGCUGACCUACACUGGGGACUUUACUCUCAUCUUAGCUCCAGUGAACGGACUUUUUGGCUUAAGUAUGAAGAGUUGAUGCAGCUCCCGGACUGUGCCUGUGGUGUUGCCAGAUUCCUGGCCCCGAGGCCGGAAGUUUUCUUGCAUGAACCCUACUGGAAAGAAGGGCUGGGUUUAAGCUGGAAAUGAUGACCACUGGACCACACUUGGGGCACACCAGCUGAAUCUCCAUCUGUUCUGUUCUCCCUCAUCUCCCUCUCUCCUCCCCCUUUCUCUUUUUCCCUCCCUCCCUCUCUCUUUUACUGGCAGGUCUUCUCUGCUCUGAAGGCCAGAAGUUCCCGCAUCGCCUUCCAUAGGGUCAAGUUGUACGACUCCUCCUAAACCAGAAUUCUCUGCCGGUGAGAUUAGAAGAUGCCUGACCGACCCUAAGCAGGAGCUAUCCCUGGGCUAGUCGAGUCUCCGAGCCUCCUCAAGGGGCCCAGCAAGGAGCACUCUGGCUAGCUCUCCUCGAGGAUAGGAGUGCAGUGACACCCGUUGCGCACCCCAACUGCAAGUUUACUACUUCUGGUUCUUGUGGAAGUGUGAUCCCACUUUUUUUCCGGUGUGGCGGGCACUCGCCCUUUCGUGCUAGCGUGACCAUUACGCUAGCUAGGCCUUUGUGGACCUGAAAAGAUCCGAAGUCUCUCAGAACGCCUCCCACAGCACUAGUCCCGCCGCUGUCUCCUCCAGGCCCCAGGUCUGGCGUCCCCAGAGCCAUUGCACCCUCUGGCCGGUCCUCAACGCGCAGCAGCUGGAGUGUGUAGCACAAGCGGUGGCAGGCUCUGUCUGCCCCCACCCACUUCCAGCCAAUGUGAAAAAAUGCGUGCGGACCCUUUCCCUCCACUCGGAGGACGCUGGACUGGGAAUAAAGUGCUAUUGAGACCG
rnacentral:lncRNA from 1 species